rnacentral:rRNA from 1 species
AACAAACGCUGGCGGCGUGCCUAAUACAUGCAAGUCGAACGGGGAAAGCUUUCGGGUGAGUACUAGUGGCGCACGGGUGAGUAACGCGUGGAUAAUCUGCCUUCGAGUGGGGAAUAACUAGUCGAAAGAUUAGCUAAUACCGCAUAAGACCACAUUAGCUGAGGCUGAAGGGGUCAAAGGAGCAAUUCGCUUGAAGAUGAGUCCGCGUGAGAUUAGCUAGUUGGUGAGGUAACGGCUCACCAAGGCGACGAUCUCUAACUGGUCUGAGAGGAUGAUCAGUCACACUGGAACUGAGACACGGUCCAGACUCCUACGGGAGGCAGCAGUAGGGAAUAUUGGACAAUGGGGGCAACCCUGAUCCAGCGACGCCGCGUGAGUGAUGAAGGCCUUCGGGUCGUAAAGCUCUGUUGCAGGGGAAAAACACAAUGAUGGUACCCUGCGAGGAAGGAUCGGCUAACUUCGUGCCAGCCGCCGCCGUAAAAC